rnacentral:rRNA from 1 species
GCACAAGCGGUGGAGCAUGUGGUUUAAUUCGACGCAACGCGAAGAACCUUACCUGGGCUCGAAAUGUAGUGGAAUCCGGUAGAAAUAUCGGCGUCUAGCAAUAGACUGCUAUAUAGGUGCUGCAUGGCUGUCGUCAGCUCGUGUCGUGAGAUGUUGGGUUAAGUCCCGCAACGAGCGCAACCCUUAUCUUCAGUUGCUACCAUUUAGUUGAGCACUCUGACGAAACCGCCUCGGAUAACGGGGAGGAAGGUGGGGAUGACGUCAAGUCCUCAUGGCCUUUAUGUCCAGGGCUACACACGUGCUACAAUGGCCGGUACAAACCGCUGCAAACCCGCGAGGGGGAGCUAAUCGGAAAAAGCCGGCCUCAGUUCGGAUUGGAGUCUGCAACUCGACUCCAUGAAGCUGGAAUCGCUAGUAAUCGUGGAUCAGCAUGCCACGGUGAAUACGUUCCCGGGC